rnacentral:rRNA from 1 species
CGGCGGACGGGUGAGUAACGCGUGGGUAACCUGCCUCAUACAGGGGGAGUAACAGUUGGAAACGGCUGCUAAUACCGCAUAAGCGCACAGUACCGCAUGGUACCGUGUGAAAAACUCCGGUGGUAUGAGAUGGACCCGCGUCUGAUUAGCUAGUUGGUGGGGUAACGGCCUACCAAGGCGACGAUCAGUAGCCGACCUGAGAGGGUGACCGGCCACAUUGGGACUGAGACACGGCCCAAACUCCUACGGGAGGCAGCAUG